CAGGGCUAGAUGCCAGUUGGUAUGAGGAGCUUGAACAGGGAGGAGGCCCAAAGACAGCUUCCCUUCAGAUUGGUCACAUGACAAAACUGAGCCUUAGAGAGCUUCUUAGAAUAACUCUAGCUCAUGCAGGAUGGUGGAACAAAGGGAGAUGGAAGACAACAGAGAGAAACCUAGAAUCAGGUAGCACAUUAAAGUCCAGAAAUCAUCUUGCCCAACCUUCUUAUUCUGCAGGUCAGCUGUAGCCUUCUUGGAUUUACUGGGCUGACUUGUAUGAUACCUGUCAUGGCUCUCUACUGCCUAUCAGAUGAAAUCCAUCCUCCUGGCUGCCUUUUAAGGCUUCCAUAAUCUUGGCCACUGUUCUACUCUCUCACUACACCAUAAUACUCAGUCUCAAAAUACACUGCAGGAGCCAAUCUGGGACCUUAGAAAUUAUUCUCCUGAUUUGGCAAUGUUCAGGGACCCAGAUUGAAGUUCUUUCUUUACUUCUUACCUCAUAUAUAUAUAUAUAACCAUUAAUUAUUUUUAUGACACGCUUUGCAUAAGAUUCUUGCAAAUUCUUCUAUCACGACUACUUUAUUCAGACUGAAAUGUCACUGUAGUGACCCUGCUAUAUAGAGGGGGAUUCUCCAUACAAGUGUGUGGCCGCAGAGGGUCCGCAGUGCUGACUGACCCCUUCCCUGAUUGAAGUGGAGCAUAAAAGAAACUCUGAUAGAGAGCAAGAUCAGGAACAUGAUGAACCAAGUCAAUAGCAGGGAGUAGACAGACAAAUCCCAGCUAAAACUACCUUCUGUAAGGAACCUUGCCCAAUUCCUUUCAUUCUGGUGCCCCCCCCUUUUGAUUGUCUCUAAUUUUAUUUUGUGGGGAGGCCAGGUGGCACAGUGGAUAGAAUGGAAGACUUGAGUUCAAAUCCAAUCUCAGACAUUUAGUAGCUGUGUGACACUAAGCAAGUCACAUAAUCCCAUUUGCCUUUGUUUCUUCAUCAGCAAAAAAGCUGGAGAAAGAAAUGACAAACCACUCCAAUAUCUUUGCCAAGAAAACCCCAAAUGGGAUAUAGACUCUAAGCAAUCACCUUAGUGAAAUUAUCAAUAAUAUGGAAAAUGAUUGAUGAUAAAUUGAUCAAUGACAUAUGUAAAAUCCAGUGGAAUUGGGUGUUGGCUACAGAAAGAGAGAUGGGAGGAGGGGAGGGAAAGAACAUGAAUCUUGUAACCAUGGAAAAUAUUCUAAAUUAACUAAUUAAAUAAAAUUUCCCAAAAAUAAAUAAAAGUUAAAAAAAAAAGAAACCCCCAAAUGGGGUCACCAAGAGUCUGAAAUGACUGACCAACAACAACGAUUUUCCUUUGUAGAUAGUUGUUUGCCUGUCAUUUUCCUUCUAAGAUUGUAAGAUUCUUUUGGAGCAGGGAUUAUCUUUUUGCCUUUCUUUGAAAGCCAACACUUAGUGCAGUGCCAGGCACAGAGCAGACACUUAAAUGCUUAGUGGAGACUCGUUGACUAAAGUCUUUGAUUGGGAAAGGACCAUAGGUGAGAGAUAUCGACUCACUCACUGUCUUCCGAAGUGGAUAGAAGUCGAACUGAGUGAAAGGCACUAGAAACGGAGGAAGAAGCAAAGGGCAUUUGAAUGUAUUCUUCUCAGCAGAACAAGCGUGCAUGCAGGAACUCCUCUCCUAGGGACAGAUACAGAAAUUUUACAGCUUUUAUUGUUCGAAAGAGGAAAAAGGUAAAAGAGAAAGAAGGUAAAACAAGAUUAUUGCUCAAUGGACAGGCGUGACACAAUUUCUUGACAGUAUUCCUUGGAGUGACUUUGGGGUCUCGAGAUAGGCUGAAAACAGUUACCUUUUCUGGAAAUCUCUGGAGCCCUUCUUGGUAAGAUGAUGAUGAUCAUAUCAGGAAAGGUUCCUAGGAUCAUUCUCAAUUCCAGCCCUGGCGGUGCAGUUAGGGUAGGGUUCAAUUGGCAAGUCCCCAUUUCUCAAGCUUGGCUUAAAGUUGCAAAGGAUUAUUGCUAUGUAUCAGCAAUCCCUGGACAAAUGGAGGCUUGAACAAAUCCCCUCAUUAUUAUAGUCAGUACUCCUUUCAUUUUAUCAGAGGCAAGAUCGGAGAGAGAAAGAAAGUAAAACCAAAAGUUCAUGACAAGGUCUGAGAAUGGAUCUUUCAGGAGGAAAGGUCUGGAUUCUGCUGGCCGUGGUUCAGUAGGGGGUAUAGCAAAAGAAAAUGAAUUGAAAAAAGAGAAGGGGGUCAAUUUAGGGAAUUCAAGAUCCUCAGCAGGGUUGUAAGUCUAGAUAAUUGAGUUUCCUCAACUGUAAAAUGAAAUGAACAAAGAAAUGGCCAAUCACUCUACUGUCUUUGCCAAGAAAACCCCAAAUGGGGACAUGAAGAGUCAAAUACAACUGAAAUAAUCGAACAUUGACAAACAUGCCUUUUAGCUUCUCCCCAAAUCCUUUCAGCUGCAAGGCUUUCUGAUACCUUAUGAAACAUCCACUAAAGUUUAAAACUUAAGGGGCUGUGGACACAUUUACUUAUAGAGAAAGAGACAUAGAAACAUAUGAAUAACUAGCAUUUCUGUAGCCUUUAAAAGUUUGCAAAUUGCCAUAUGUAAGUUAUCUCCUUUUAUCCUCACAACAAUACUUAAAAGAAUGUGUAUUAAUAUCCCCAUUUUACAGGAGGAAACCGAAGCUAAGGGAUAUUAUCUGACUUGUCCAGGAUUAUACAGCUAGUAUCUGUGGUAGGAUUUCAACUCAGGUUCUUACUGACUCCAAGUCCAAUGGUCUACCCACUGAGCCACCUAGAUAAAUAGUGCCUAAUACUGUGUGUGUAGUUGUUGAGUUAUUUCAGUAUUUGACUCUUGGUGACUCUUUUUUUUUUUUUUUAGCAAAGAUACUGAAGUGGUUUGCCAUUUCCCCUUUUUUUGAGAACAUUUUCCAGAUGAGGAAAUUGAGGCAAAUAGGUCAAAGUGCCCAGGGUCUCACAGCUAGUAAGUUUCUGAUACCAGAUUGGAAAUCAGGUCUUCUUGACCCCAAGCCUGGCACUCUGUCUAUUAAACCGCCUCGCUGUUUGUGGUAGGCAUUCAUUAAAUAAGAAUGUGAAUGUGCUCCAUAUCUUUCAAUUCUAUUUCCUUCAUUAGUUACUAGUCUAAAUGAACUAAACCAACUACCUAAGGUCAACCAUAUCUUAGUUUCUUGAGAAUUUUUCAUUAAUUGUAUCAUUUAAUGCCUGCCUCCUCAAUGGUUUCAGAGAACAUUGCCCAUGCCCUUUCCAUGCAUUUAUCACAUUCUAAUUUGCAUCAAAGUUGUUGGCAUUCCUGUCUUGUCAGAUCAUUUUAUGAACUUCAGAAUAAGAAGGGGCUGUGGAAGUCAUAUAGUCCAACCUACACCUGAACCCCUUAUAUGACAUUCCUGACCAAUAUCUUCCGGGACACUUUCAGUGAGGAGAAGCUCAUUGCCUCCUGGGACAGCCAAGUUAUGGCUUCAGCAUAACUCUGAUGGUUAAGAAGGUUUUCAAGCCUAAAUUUAUGUCUUUGUAACUUUCUCCCCUUGUUCUUAAUUCUGCCUUCUGAAGCCAAGCAGAAUUCAUCUAAUCUAGCUUCACCUAAUAAACUUUUGGAUCAAUGAAAGCAGCUUUCAAGCUCCCCUUUCUCUUUAAGGCUAUACAUACAAAUUGCCCAAGGAUUAGUUGAUAGCUACUGUUGUCAGUCAAGAUUAUCAAUGCACAGAUGCAUUUUAAAAACAAGUUUAUUAUGAAGACUGUUUCCCAAUUUGUUGCUUCCCUUCUGAUUUUGGUUACAUUGGUUUUGUUUGUACAAAAACUUUUUAAUUUGAUGUAGUCAAAAUUAUUUAUUUUACAUUUUGUGGCUCUUUCUAAAUCUUGCUUGGUUUUAAAAUCUUUCCCUUCCCAAAGGUCUGACAUGUAGACAUGUAUACUAUUCUGUGUUUAGAUAAUUUACUUAUUGUUUCCUUCUUUAUGUUCAAGUCGUUCACCCAUUCUGAGUUUAUCUUGGUGUAGGGUGUGAGGUGUUGAUCCAAACCUAAUCUCUCCCAUACUGUCUUCCAAUUUUCCCAGCAGUUUUUAUCAAAUAAUGGAUUUUUGUCCCAAAAGCUGGGAUCUUUGGGUUUAUCAUAUAUUGUCUUGCUGAGGUCAUUUACGCCAAGUCUAUUCCACUGAUCCUCCUUUCUGUCUCUUAGUCAGUACCAAAUUGUUUUGAUGACCACUGCUUUAUAAUAUAGUUUGAGAUCUGGGACUGCAAGGCCACCUUCCUUUGUAUUUUUUUCAUUAUUUCCCUGGAUAUCCUUGAUCUUUUGUUCUUCCAAAUGAACUUUGUUAUGUUUUUUUCUAGUUCAGUAAAAACAUUUUUUGGAAGUUCAAUGGGUAUGGAACUAAAUAGGUAGAUAAGUUUGGGUAGGAUGGUCAUUUUUAUUAUUAAUUAAUAAUUAACUAAUUAUUAAUUAAACCUCUGACAAAGGUUUAAUUACUCAAAUUUAGAAAGAGCUAAAUCAAUUGUACAAAAAAAUCAAGCCAUUCUCCAAUUGAUAAAUGGGCAAGGGACACGAACAGGCAGUUUUCAGUCAAAGAAAUCAAAACUAUUAAUAAGCACAUGAAGAAGUGUUCUAAAUCUCAUAAUCAGAGAAAUGCAAAUCAAAACAACUCUAAGGUAUCACCUCACACCUAGCAGAUUGGCUAACAUGACAGCAAAGGAAAGUAAUGAAUGCUGGAGGGGAUGUGGCAAAGUAGGGACAUUAAUGCAUUGCUGGUGGAGUUGUGAAUUGGUCCAGCCAUUCUGGAGGGCAAUUUGGAACUAUGCCCAAACGGUGCUAAAAGACUGCCUACCUUUUGACCCAGCCAUAGCACUGCUGGGUUUGUACUCCAAAGAGAUAAUAAGGAAAAAGGCUUGUACAAGAAUAUUCAUAGCUGCGCUCUUUGUGGUGGCAAAAAAUUGGAAAAUGAGGGAAUGCCCUUCAAUUGGGGAAUGGCUGAACAAGUUGUGGUAUCUGUUGGUGAUGGAAUACUAUUGUGCUCAAAGGAAUAAUAAAGUGGAGGAAUUCCAUGUGAACUGGAACAACCUACAGGAAUUGAUGCAGAGUGAGAGGAGCAGAACCAGGAGAACAUUGUACACAGAGACUGAUACACUGUGGUACAAUCGAACGUAAUGGAUUUCUCCAUUAGUGUCAAUGCAAUGUCCCUGAACAAUCUGCAGGGAUCUAGGAGAAAAAACGCUGUCCACAAGUAGAGGACAAACUGUGGGAACGAAAACACCGAAGAAAGGCAAUUGCUUGACUACAGCGGAAGAGGGGAUGUGAUUGGGGAUGUAGACUCUAGAUGAACAUUCUAGUGCAAAUACCAACAACAUGGAAAUGGGUUUGGAUCAAGGACACAUGUGAUACCCAGUGGAUUCGUGUGUUGACUAUGGGAGGGGUGGUAAGAGGGGAGGGAGGAAAAGAAAAUGAUUUUUGCAUUCAAUGAAUAAUGUUUGAAGUUGACCAAAUAAAAAUAAUGUUUAAAAGAAAUAAAUAAAACAAAACAAAAAAC